rnacentral:lncRNA from 1 species
UCCGCUUGCUCUGAUGUUGACCACAGAGGUCUCGAGAGGGUCAGGGGAUAGGAGAACAAGAUGAGUUUUUUUUUGCUUGUCGACGAUGGAGUCUGCUUCAGCUGUAUUCCGUGAGUUUGCCGGCGUUUUUACCGCAACGAGUGGUGAUUUUUGUGGCUUGUUUGCUCGCACUUUUCUGCCGCUGAUUUUUUUGCUUUUGUUUUCUCUCCCGGCUCAGAUGUGGCGAGGCGAAGACGACAGAGACAAGAGGGGUUUUCGAUCCAUAAGCUGAUUAAGUGGUUUAAUGUGUGCUUACAGCUUUAAUCCGUUCAUUUCAAUUUUUGCGUGCUGUACAGCUUUCAGAUAAGCUACAGAUCAAAGGAGCACCUAUUCAUUUAGUCUAGUAAUUUUGUAUAGCCUAUACAUGCAUGUGAACUGAUUUCUCUUAAUAAGACUUGUAUCCUUUACUUCGGUUCCAAGAAGCAAGCUCUCACUUCUGUAAUACCAAUACUCUCUUAAUAGUUCAGUUUUGGUUUUCGCUGGUUCAAGAAAUUGCCCCCUUCCGUUUCUUCUCUUUACU